rnacentral:rRNA from 1 species
UGCAGUCGAACGGCAGCACAGCAGAGCUUGCUCUGUGGGUGGCGAGUGGCGGACGGGUGAGGAAUACAUGGGAAUCUGCCCAGUCGUGGGGGAUAACGUAUGGAAACGUACGCUAAUACCGCAUGCGCCCUACGGGGGAAAGCCGGGGACCUUCGGGCCUGGCGCGAUUGGAUGAGCCCAUGUUCGAUUAGCUAGUUGGGGGGGUAAAGGCCCACCAAGGCGACGAUCGAUAGCUGGUCUGAGAGGAUGAUCAGCCACACUGGGACUGAGACACGGCCCAGACUCCUACGGGAGGCAGCAGUAGGGAAUAUUGGACAAUGGGCGCAAGCCUGAUCCAGCCAUGCCGCGUGAGUGAAGAAGGCCCUCGGGUUGUAAAGCUCUUUUGUCCGGAAAGAAAAGCAUUCGGUUAAUACCCGGGUGUUCUGACGGUACCGGAAGAAUAAGCACCGGCUAACUUCGUGCCAGCAGCC